CAAAUUAUAUCAAACCUUGUUGCUUGAUGAGAGAGCUCGCACGCUUGGCUUAGCACAAGUGGUUUUCAAGAACCCGUGAACAGGGCUGAGCAGUUCUUACUGAUGUUCUUAAGGGGGCAGCGUCAUGUACUGCGCAUGUCUGGAGUCAGUGUAUAUUGUAGGCUUUUAAUUGUCUACAAACAGUUGAACUUUAGCUGUCCAUGGUAACAUGGAGCGUCUCCUCGACAUGCCAAUGGCAUCAAAACGUCCGCAGAUGGAUUUUAGGAAAAUUCACCGAGUUUUAUCCUCUUAGCUGCUAUGAAGUUCAGAAGUUUUAGCAAUUUCCCCGGAGGGGGGCUUCAAGAGCCCCGCCCCUCCCCAGUCUGAAUAGGGUUAAUUUAAAAUGUAAUAUUUUAUUAAAACUAUGUUUUUGACAGUUUGUGGUCCUUUCCUUUCACUUAAAAUCUCCAGUUUUAUAGGGGUGGAAUUGAUUAUCACAAAAAUGAAGGAAACAUACACUUAAUUUUCUGGGUCACGUGAAAUCGACGGUUUGCUUGGGUGGAUUAAGGCAAAACUCGUUAUGUGUCAUAAACUAUUGUUAAUAAACAGAUCCCCGGUGAAAAAGCUCCGUUAAAAUGUUUUCCAACCUCGCCAUAUGAAAAAUCGUUUGCUUAAUGAAACACGCCUGUAAAACUGUAAGUACCCACACUUUGGCGUGGCAUCCCAUCAAAAACUGUUCAUGGCAUAAAUGUUAAUCCAUAUGCAAGAGUAAAAUCAUUAACUAGCAUAUUUAGUGUGUUUUGUAUUAAUUUAUAUCAUAGUAAUUGCACCUCUAUAACACUGGAAGUAUUGUUAAGAGGGCGUAGCCCUUGUAACGAUAAUAUGAAAUAAGUUAGCCUUUAUCUACCUGAGAAUGUUUGGGCCCGUACAUUACCAUUAAGUGUAUGUUUCCUUCAUUUUUGUGAUAAUCAAUUCCACCCCUAUAAAACUGGAAGUAUUUGUUUUUGGGCGUGGCAUCAUAUCUAGAAUUUAUCGUGGCGCAAACAUCUAUCAUCCUGCCAAAUUUCAUAACCCUACUAUUAAUUUGAACAAUUCUGCACCAUUUUUCUGCACUAUAUUGCAAAGCUCUUAUCAUGACACCCCCCCAUUAAAUUUCAGUGACAUCACAUUUUGAAUAUAAUAUAUAUUAUAAACCAAAAAUGGAACAGCAGGAGAGAUACACAUAAUAAGUAUUUCAAGUCGAAUAACACACAUUAAUUCUACAUUCUCUUUCACUCUGAUGAUUUUGAAUUGUUUUUGAGCAUCUGCAUGUUCUUAGAAUUAGGUAAAAUCUCAGGUUGGGCGUUCUUAUAAAACAAAAAAAGUUUACUCUGAUACUCACGGCCCAGUAUAAGAAGAGCAGUAGCAGGCCUUGAAUUAUUUGGGCGAUACAGAAACAGUAAGAAAAUAUUGGGAACACAGCAACAUCCUUUACUGAAAAUAUAUGAUCCUUUUAGAAAGGUGGACUACUUGAAAAGCCUGUUAGGGUUUGUCUAGUCCUCCUACCAAUUGUAAUAAGAAUAUAUGUAUCUGAUAAUAAUCAUUAAUAUGGCAAAUAAACAAAUCAAAUCCUA